rnacentral:rRNA from 1 species
ACUCCUACGGGAGGCAGCAGUGGGGAAUUUUGGACAAUGGGCGCAAGCCUGAUCCAGCAAUGCCGCGUGAGUGAAGAAGGCCUUCGGGUUGUAAAGCUCUUUCAGUUGAAAAGAAAAAGUCGUGACUAAUAAUCAUGGCUCAUGACGGUAUCAACAGAAGAAGCACCGGCUAACUACGUGCCAGCAGCCGCGGUAAUACGUAGGGUGCAAGCGUUAAUCGGAAUUACUGGGCGUAAAGGGUGCGCAGGCGGUUCUGUAAGUCAGAUGUGAAAUCCCCGGGCUUAACCUGGGAACUGCGUUUGAAACUGCAGAGCUAGAGCGCGGCAGAGGGAGGUGGAAUUCCAUGUGUAGCAGUGAAAUGCGUAGAGAUAUGGAAGAACAUCGAUGGCGAAGGCAACCUCCUGGGCUAGCACUGUCGCUCAUGCACGAAAGCGUGGGGAGCAAACAGGAUUAGAUACCCUGGUAGUCCACGCCCUAAACUAUGUCAACUAGUUGUCGGGUCUUAAUAGACUUGGUAACGUAGCUAACGCGUGAAGUUGACCGCCUGGGGAGUACGGUCGCAAGAUUAAAACUCAAAGGAAUUGACGGGGACCCGCACAAGCGGUGGAUUAUGUGGAUUAAUUCGAUGCAACGCGAAAAACCUUACCUACCCUUGACAUGUCAGAAAAUUUUCAGAGAUGAAUUUGUGCCCGAAAGGGAAUCUGAACACAGGUGCUGCGUGGCUGUCGUCAGCUCGUGUCGUGAGAUGUUGGGUUAAGUCCCGCAACGAGCGCAACCCUUGUCAUUAAUUGCCAUCACUAAGUUGGGCACUUUAAUGAGACUGCCGGUGAUAAACCGGAGGAAGGUGGGGAUGACGUCAAGUCCUCAUGGCCCUUAUGGGUAGGGCUUCACACGUAAUACAAUGGCG